UACAGAGGGCGCGAGCGUUGUCCGGAAUCACUGGGCGUAAAGGGCGCGUAGGUGGCCACUAUAAGGCCGCGGUGAAAGUUCGGGGCUCAACCCUGAAUCUGCCGCGGCGACUGUAGGGCUAGGGCACCGUAGAGGCAGGUGGAAUUCCGGGUGUAGCGGUGGAAUGCGUAGAGAUCCGGAAGAACACCGGUGGCGAAGGCGGCCUGCUGGGCAGUUUGGCUGACACUGA
rnacentral:rRNA from 1 species